GACGGGAUGGCCGAGUGGUUAAGGCGGCAGUUUAGAAUCAACCCUCGGUUGGGAUCUGCUUCAGCUGCUUCACUUUGUGAGCGUGAGUUCAAAUCUCACUUCCGUCG